rnacentral:rRNA from 1 species
AUUGAACGCUGGCGGCAUGCUUUACACAUGCAAGUCGAACGGCAGCGCGGGCUUCGGCCUGGCGGCGAGUGGCGAACGGGUGAGUAAUGCAUCGGAACGUGCCCACUAGUGGUGGAUAGCCCGGCGAAAGCCGGAUUAAUACCGCAUACGACCUGAGGGUGCAAGCGGGGGGCCGAAAGGCCUCGCGCUAUUGGAGCGGCCGAUGUCGGAUUAGCUAGUUGGUGGGGUAAAGGCUUACCAAGGCGACGAUCCGUAGCUGGUCUGGGAGGACGACCAGCCACACUGGGAGUGGACCACGGCCCAGACUCCUACGGGAGGCCGCAGUGGGGAACUUUGGGCAGUGGGGGCGAGCCUGAUACAGCAAUGGCGCGUGCGAGAAGGAGGCCUUGCGGUUGGGAAGAGGUUGUGUUAGGGAAGAAACACUGUGGGCUAAGACGACGGGGGAAUGACGGUACCGGGAGAAUAAGCACCGGCUAACUACGUG